rnacentral:misc_RNA from 1 species
GAAAAAUGGAAGAAGCUUCAGUAGUAGCAGUGGACAACCAAAAGCCGCAGCAAGAGAAGCCUCACACUGAUGUUUUGCUUUUCAAUCGUUGGUCAUAUGAUGAUGUUCAGAUUGCUGAUAUUUCUGUUGAGGAUUACAUAACUGCUACUGCUAACAAGCAUCCUACAUAUACACCACACACAGCUGGGAGGUACCAAGCCAAGCGGUUUAGAAAGGCUCAAUGCCCAAUUGUGGAGAGGUUGACCAACUCACUGAUGAUGCACGGAAGGAACAACGGGAAGAAGUUGAUGGCCGUUCGUAUUAUUAAGCAUGCUAUGGAAAUUAUCCAUCUGUUGACUGACCUAAACCCAAUCCAAGUGAUUGUUGAUGCUGUUAUCAACAGUGGGCCAAGGGAAGAUGCAACACGUAUUGGUUCUGCUGGUGUUGUCAGACGUCAAGCUGUUGAUAUUUCUCCACUCCGUCGUGUUAACCAAGCAAUUUAUUUGCUGACAACUGGUGCACGUGAGAGUGCUUUCAGGAACAUCAAGACCAUAGCUGAGUGCCUUGCUGAUGAACUCAUCAAUGCUGCCAAGGGUUCUUCAAAUAGCUAUGCUAUUAAGAAGAAGGACGAGAUUGAAAGGGUUGCCAAGGCCAAUCGUUAAGAGAUUGUUGUUGGAGCAACUUUUUCGAGAGACUUUUUGGUUAUGUUAUUUUCUCAGUUCUGUUUUCAUGUAGGCAUUAUAGCAUCUGCUACUCCUUAUGGAUUUAGUUUCUUGGAGGAUUUAUGUUUGGUAUUGUUAUAAAUGUUAAAUUUUGAAGUUCCUUUAUUCGGGUUCUCAGUAGAGUUUCGUUAAACACGGUAUUUUGUGAUUUUCUUUAGAUGUUUUGAAGAUACUUCCCAACUCUAUUUUGUU